CUACGGGGCGCUCCAGUGGGGAAUAUUGGACAAUGGGCGAAAGCCUGAUCCAGCAAUACCACGUGGAUGAUGAAGGCCUUAGGGUUGUAAAGUCCUUUCAGUAGGGAAGAUAAUGACGGUACCUACAGAAGAAGCACCGGCUAACUUCGUGCCAGCAGCCGCGGUAAUACGAAGGGUGCUAGCGUUGUUCGGAAUCAUUGGGCGUACGCGUGCGUAGGCGGUUUACUAAGUUAGUUGUGAAAGCCCAAGGCUCAACCUUGGAACUGCAAUUAAAACUGGUAAACUAGAGUAUGAUAGGCGAUAGUGGAAUUCUUGGUGUAGGGGUGAAAUCCGUAGAUAUCAAGAGGAACACCGGAGGCGAAGGCGACUAUCUUGGUCAUAACUGACGCUAAGGCACGAAAGCGUGGGGAGCAAACAGGAUUAGAUACCCUUGUAGUC
rnacentral:rRNA from 1 species